rnacentral:rRNA from 1 species
AUUGAACGCUGGCGGCAUGCUUUACACAUGCAAGUCGAACGGCAGCGCGGGCUUCGGCCUGGCGGCGAGUGGCGAACGGGUGAGUAAUGCAUCGGAACGUGCCCAGUAGUGGGGGAUAGCCCGGCGAAAGCCGGAUUAAUACCGCAUACGACCUGAGGGUGAAAGCGGGGGACCGAAGGGCCUCGCGCUAUUGGAGCGGCCGAUGUCGGAGUAGCUAGUUGGUGGGGUAAAGGCUUACCAAGGCGACGAUCCGUAGCUGGUCUGAGAGGACCACCAGCCAGACGGGGACUGAGACCGGGCCCAGACUCCUACGGUAGGCAGCAGUGGGGAAUUUUGGACGAGGGAGGCGACCCUGAUCCAGCCAUGCCGCGUGCGGGAAGAAGGCCUUCGGGUUGUAAACCGCUUUUGUUCGGGAAGAAAUCCUCUGGGCUAAUACCCCGGGGGGAUGACGGUACCGGAAGAAUAAGCACCGGCUAACUACGUG